rnacentral:rRNA from 1 species
AGUGAACGCUGGCGGUAGGCCUAACACAUGCAAGUCGAACGGCAGCACAGUAAGAGCUUGCUCUUACGGGUGGCGAGUGGCGGACGGGUGAGGAAUACAUCGGAAUCUACUUUUUCGUGGGGGAUAACGUAGGGAAACUUACGCUAAUACCUCAUACGACCUACGGGUGAAAGCAGGGGGUCUUCGGACCUUGCGCGAUUGAAUGAGCCGAUGUCGGAUUAGCUAGUUGGCGGGGUAAAGGCCCACCAAGGCGACGAUCCGUAGCUGGUCUGAGAGGAUGAUCAGCCACACUGGAACUGAGACACGGUCCAGACUCCUACGGGAGGCAGCAGUGGGGAAUAUUGGACAAUGGGCGCAAGCCUGAUCCAGCCAUACCGCGUGGGUGAAGAAGGCCUUCGGGUUGUAAAGCCCUUUUGUUGGGAAAGAAAAGCAGCAGGUUAAUACCCCGCUGUUCUGACGGUACCCAAAGAAUAAGCACCGGCUAACUUCGUG